rnacentral:rRNA from 1 species
AGCAGCCGCGGUAAUUCCAGCUCCAAUAGCGUAUAUUAAAGUUGUUGCAGUUAAAAAGCUCGUAGUUGAAUUUCGAGACCGGCUUACUGGUCGUGCUAUUGUACGUACUGGUAUAAUCGGUUUCUCCUUUCUGACGAACUAUAAUGCCAUUAAUUUGGUGUUUUAGGGAAUCAGGACUGUUACUUUGAAAAAAUUAGAGUAGUUUAAAGCAGGCUCACGCUUGAAUACAUUAGCAUGGAAUAACGGAAUAGGACGUUUGAUUCUAUUUUGUUGGUUUCUAGGAUCGACGUAAUGAUUAAUAGGGAUAGUUGGGGGCAUUAGUAUUCAAUUGUCAGAGGUGAAAUUCUUGGAUUUAUUGAAGACUAACUACUGCGAAAGCAUUUGCCAAGGAUGUUUUCAUUAAUCAAGAACGAAAGUUAGGGGAUCGAAGACGAUCAGAUACCGUCGUAGUCUUAACCAUAAACUAUGCCGACUAGGGAUCGGAUGAUGUUAAUUUUUUAAUGACUCAUUCGGCGCCUUA